ensembl:lncRNA
CGCAUCAGAGAUCAGAGCAGAUUUGGGUUGUUGCAGACUGCGCUGGUGUCUGUUAGAAAUUUUCUGACCAACACUAUUUGUCUGAAUUCCCAGGAAUGCUGCUUGCUCUUCAGAAUGGAAAAAUGUUCUAUUUUUGGCCAUGACAACUUUUCUGGGAAAAAAAAAAUAUAUUAAACAAAGCAUGGCAAGGGUUCAUGUGUGUAGGUCUUCAUGAUGUGUAAUGGGAACGGGGAGAGGCUUAGCAAAUAAACUUCAGACAGAUACAUGAGGAAGCUAUUAAUGCUCUUCUUGCAACUGAAGGCUAAGAAAAUGCAUCAUUAAGUGGAUUAUCUGGAGACCCUGGUGUGUUGGAAUGGAGGCAGACUUGGGUAUAUGUGAAAAUAUCUCUUUGACCAAAAAAGAUCAAAACAAAUGGAUAAAUAAACAUAGAAGCAUAUGUCUCAAGAAUGAGAGAGGGAGCGAUGGUGGAUCAAAAAAAAAGCAUCAUUCAGGAGCUUUGGGAAGCCUUGGAUGAGCAAAGGGCUGACAAUGUGGCAAAUACCCAAAAGAGCUGUUUGGAGCUGGCAGCUCAAGGCUCCAGCCAUCAGUUUGGUUCCUGGUGGAGACAUCAGCUGGCAGUGAGGCUUCUCAUGCCUUCCCAUCCAGCCUGUGGGAAGAGGUGAUCUUUUCUGAGGAUGAUGCAGAAGGAUGCUGCCUUCUUCUAUAAAGAGCAACAAUUUGUUCUUAGGGACUGGCUGUGGUUACUUCUAUGUGUGAUGUUCUUUGGGUGAAGAGCUGUUUUUUAGCAUUCAAACAGAACCCCUAGCCUACAAACCAUGGCCAUGACCUCUUGCUGCAUGACUUGCUGCAUCACCUUUCACUUCCAAGAAGAGCUUGACUGCAUCCACCGCUGCCCAUGUUGUGACUGAGAACUGUUCCUCACCCUCCUGCAGCCCAGCUUCCUUUCAUCUUCUCUCGGGCUGGUUGCUCCAGGCCUUCACACAGGCCCUUACCAAGGUCUUCACAUCCCUCUUGAACAGGGGAAUGUAUCUGGAAAGAUCAUCCAGAUGUGACAUCAAAAGUGGUGAACCAGUAUGUACAUAAAUUUUAGCCCUGGACAGUAGAUUGCGCACUGUCGGCAGUGUGAACUAUUUCAGAUUGAUCAAAAAUCUAGGUGUGGGUCUUUGAUUGAAAGACUGAAGCUCUGGUUUGCACACUACACCUCAUGUCCUACUCUUAGUCCUAUUUGUAACCCUUGAAGCCUGGCUUUACAUCAUUCAGGAAGGAAGAAAUCAAGAAAACAUGUUGUUUGAUGUGCAUGUACAAAUCACUGUAUUACCUCACUAUCGUGCUUCUUUCCCUCAAACGGUUUCAAGGUGCAAAAAGCAUAUAGGUUUGCAUAUUAGGGAAGCAUAUUAGGGAACAAGUAUUGGGUCAGCCAUUCUGCUCUGCAACACAGCUUUUCGUUAUGACUGCCUUGUUCUGGGUAGUGUGACAGUCUCUGUUGUAAACAUAAUGGAAAGGGCUGCAGCUUUUCCUAGAACAGCAAUUGCUCAGACCUAGCAUUCUGUGCUGGUGUGAGAGUUCACACUAGGCCCAGCCUUGACAACACUUAAGCAGUGCUGUCAUCUGUGCUUCCCUUGGUUGUAUUCUGCCUGCCUUGGGUUCAUCUUAAGCAAGGUCUUUGUCUGGCUACAGUGUAAAAAGUAGAAUAAAAAUUGCUGAUUGUGGAGAGACAAGUGAUGUCUUUAUGAAAAAAAAAAAAAGUAAAAAAAAAAACAAAAGGCUGGUGAGAGGUUGUGUAGGGAGUUGUCUGACUUACGUACUUGUAACUUGGAUCUCAUAGCUUAAUGCAUAUAUACCUAAAAUGGGCAAAAAGUGCUUAUAUUGGCCACAGAAUAGGACUGUAAGCAACGACUGGCUUGGUCACAGGAGUGGGGAGAUAUCCGGGCUUUUGCAUUGCCCUUUGCUCCUCCCUGUUUGGCUUUGCAUGAGCUUUUAGGGAAAAAAGUCCAGCAGGGGCUGAGCUGUAAACACAGUCAGCCACAACUGCAAAUCUGUGGUGCUCUGCUGAAGGUCCUCAGACUGGACCAAUUCACAGCAGCAGGAGGAUCAAGCUUUCCAAAUCUGUGAUAGGACUGAAGCCUGCAUCCAGCCCUGUGGAGGAUGAGCCAUCUCCACUUUUUUUUUUAUCUCUGAAGAUGUCCUGGGGCAGAGCUGGAGGCCAAGGCCCACCGGAGCCUGCUCGCAUCACCAUGCCUGCUGAGCAGGAGACCGGGCCGCGCUGCUCCCACUAACCCCUGGCCACAGGCCCACUGGCUUCUGCGAUGGCCUCAGCAACAUCUGCUUCAUCCAUUAGCAUAGCACUCCUCUCCUGGCCUCUGGCCUGAGCCUUUGCUGCCAUUGAUUAGCAGCAAUUUCCUUCCCAAACCCGAAUGUUCGCCGGACGCCAGAUUGGAUUGCAGUCUGCCUGCCGUUGCAAAGCCACAGUGUGGGUGUGCAUGCACAGGAGUAUAAAUAGCACUGACUUGUUGCCCUCUGAGACGUUUCAGGAACUCUUCUGCUCUCGCUGAAGUUCGGAUUGCCUUCAGAUAUCUUCCCUUUGAGCUCAUGAGUAUAAACUUAUUUCGUGCCUCACCAGCUUUGACUCCUAAACCACGUUCUCGUGUUUGCAUGUUUCUCUCGUUCAACUUCAGCAGUUACAGCACCAGGAAACAUCACUGGUUUCUCCUGCACUGGAAAGCUAAUGCCUGUGUUACUGUUUAUGAAAUGCUUAUUGUCUUCUUGGAAAGAAAGGGAAGUUUUAAAAUGCUUUCUUAAGCAAAUGAUCUCUUGCACCCUUAAAAAAUUUUCUCACCCAGUGACCCAGAUCUGUGAUCCUUUAAAGCUCUAGAAAACUAAUCAUAUUAAAAACCUUUUCUUUUUUUUAAUUAGAAGAUUGCUAACUAUUUCCUAUAUCAUUAAGCUAAUGCCAAACCUCUUCACCAUUAAGGCUAUAUCCGCUCUGUAUGGCCAAGCUGUGGUAUCUGGGACAAUUUCCAGAAAAACGAAUGGACAAACCUGGAUGAGCUCUUCUUUGGCUUGGUUUUUCCUUUGCAGGUUAUCUGACUUAAUCAAUUUUCCUAUCCAGCCCCAAGAUGAAGAACAGUGACAUGAAACUGCAUCUGAGGCUGCAGUGCAGUGGCCCAAGCUGCCUCCGUUGUGUCAUUUCCUCCUCUUCUCCUGGUUGUCAGGAUUUGCAGUAGGUAAGCUGGUAGGAUGCAAAGUUCAGCUCUUGUGCUGGAUGGACACACUGGGUUUGUCUAACACAGCAUGUGGCUGUAUUACAGUGUUUCCAAAGGAGGUGACUCAGAAGCCGUACCUCCAUUUAGCAGCGCAUCAUGACAUGGAAGUGAACCAAAGCACUUAAGAACAUGAAGAAGAAGUGUAUAGCAAAGGAGGGAGGAUGGGGCUUAGGAUUGGAAAAUAAUUUGGGUCAGAAGAGCUGUCUGGAGGCCUCUAGUCCAGCCUUUGCUUGAUACCAGGCCGCCUGUGAAGCUGUAUCAUACCAAUGCCACUACGUUCUGCCUGCUAAUUGAAGUUGGGUGGGAUGGCUCUUCUGGUACAUUACAAUGCUGAUUUUGAAGACCUGCUUAGAUAGGCCUGUGACCUCCAGGAUCAUUCUGAUUACAAAUGUGUCCACCACAAAGCUGCAGAAAGCUUGUGAUGAGGAAGGGAAAAAUGUUCUUGCAUGUCAAUGUCCUUCCAGGAAAAAAAAAUGGAAACUGUAGUGUUUGGCUCACACAGGAGAGCAAACACAACAUCUCCCUGAGUGUCUAAAUUGCCAUCUGCAAUAGAGAGACAGGGUAAAGCUUGUUUACCAUGGCAGGCUUGAGGGUGAUGCAAUCUGUCAGAAUUAUAAAAUAUUCUUGGAACUGCUAAAUAUUAUAGAUGCUAAUUCCACUUCAGAAAGUAUCCUGGAGCAGAUGAAAUCUACUGAACAUCAACUUGACACAAAGUGAAAUGGCAUCAAUGUAGGAAUUAGCUCCUGCUUGGUCUCAGUUUCCUGGGACUUGCUCAAGGAUGAUUUACCAGUUGCUCCUAACUCUGUAAUCCAGUAAGGAAGGCUGCGCUGGUGAAAAAGACAAGUUGACAUAGAAGGGAAGUAAAACCCACUACUUAAAGCACAUGAAGCCUCACAACAGUCUGCAAGAGAUGGAAAUAGCAAAUGGAGAGCCAUGGAUGUGAAUGAGAUGUUAGAAGUUGUUAAUAACAAGGAAGCUAAAGGAAACAACAAGAAAUUUUUGGCCAGUGGCAUUAAAAACUGAAGAUAAAAGCCACCGUCCCCCCUGCUGCUUUCAGUCCUCCAUUGUCACCAUCUGAAAACCUGAGUCUUCAGGUUUGCAGGUGGAAGAGGCCAAGAGAGCUGCUCUCACGGAAGUGACCAUCAUGCUUUAUCCAGCCUACACAAGCCUACAAGUUACAUGAGACCACAUCCUGAAGCAGGCCGAGCCCUCCCAGCUUCAAGCACUUCCAUAUCACACAGAACACCAUUUCGUUGAGGAAAAACCCUCAACAGCACUUGAAAAGAAAGAAAAAAGAAAAUGACUUUAUUAUUUCCAUUGUGGUGGAAAGCAUUUGGUGUCUUCUUAAGGUGUGAGAGUUUGUGCGUCUGUGGCCAACUGCUCAAGUACUCCGAGCCCUUAUUCCUGCAUAUAAGCUGAUGUCCUGCUUAGAGUGGAGAUUUACAACCUGCUCACCAUGGGGGUUGCAUCAGUAAGACAUGUGUUCUCCUCGUUCUCAUACAUUAGCUUGUUUUGGGAGGGGAAAAUGGCUGCUCCCUUCAAAGAAAUCCCGGCUUUUGCUGAUGCUAUCUGGCAUUUUCACGGUGUCAUCAUUUUGCAACUCAUUUCGUGAUCCAGGGCAAAUGUGCGUCAGGGCAUUGGGGUUUUGGUAUACCACAGACGUCAUCUGCUUCUCAACUGCCGCUAACUUGAGGAAGUUGUCAAAAAUACAAUUGGUUUCUCCUACAGAGGAAAACACAUGGCUUAGAAAGCAGUGGGAGCUGCCUGUUUUCCUUUUUGGGUGAAGAACAGGAAUUUUCAGAAUUUGGUCAGAAAGUGGUUUGGGCUGUGGGAGAAGUUGGACUUUGAUCCCAGGGAAAAUCAACUUUGAGAUAACAAGCUCUACAAAAACUCCCCAUUUAUUUGGUACAUUCAUUUGUUUUCAACUAUGCAUGUGCACAUAAUGUGAAUGUAACUAUAUAUAUAAAAUGUCUUCCAUCCUUUCCUCUUUGUGACCGUAGCAGGAGGAAGGGCCUUUACAGCAGCCACCAAAGGACUAAGACGUGCGACAGAGGGAACAGCGUGUUCUUCCAGAGCAUGAAGCUUGGCUCUGGUGCUCACUUCAGGUGGUUAUAUGCGUGGCAUAGAUGCCACGAAUGACUCACAGAUGACUGCAGUACUUAAAAUUUCCUACAAGGGGUUGAUCUGAGGUGAACAGAUAGAGGAAGGAGACAUUAUAUGUAGCUCUGUGGACUGGUUCUUCAAGGGUGAUGCAGAAGUCAUUUGCAUGUGAAGUUCUCCCUCUGGCAAAGCUUAGUUUUACAGCAAAAUAUUCUCAGGAAUUCUGUUAUAUUGUGAAAGCCAGAUGAGGGAGGCUGCCUGAAAGCAAUACAAGAUGGCCAGUGUAUCUGGCAAACUAGAAACUUCCUGAUGUAUGUGUGAACAUGACCAAAUACUAUCUAAUGUGCCAAACUGCUCUGAAAGCACAUUUGAAUCAGAAUUAAGUUCAUGCAUCUGGGCCAUCCUGCAGCUGCUUCUACAGGAACGUGUUUGGGUCUAUAGUAGCCUUACUUUCAAGCUUGACCUGUCUUCUGUUGCUUGUAUCUCUUUUGGAGAACUAGAAGACCUUCAAAAGAAACAGCUGUGGUUCUUAUAGUCAUCAGUAGUACUUCCAGCUUGUUUCAGAGAUGCAGCUUGCCCAUUCUCUUUCCGUGCUGCAAUUUGAAAGGUUGAAUGGACUCAAGACAUGCCAAAAUGAUGCACAUUUGGUAUCACUAAAAUUUUCAGCACUUACUGCUUGUCACCAUAAGCAGAGUUGUAACCACACAGGUGCUGCAUCAGAAGAGAGAAAAGCUGGAGCCAAUACUAGUGGAAUCAUUUGACCUGACCUCAAUGGCAAGGGGCAGCCCCAUGACGUGAAGGCUGGAAGUUCCUGUGUCCAAGGGCAAAAGCUUUGGAAAACUCAGAGGGUAAAGUAGCCAUGCGUUUCUCGAGAUCUACAUUCACUUCUACUUUUAGUGGCUUGGACCAAACCUUAAUGUAAGCAACUGCUUUGGCAUGUUGCACUAAAAUUUUAUCUGGAUGGUGUCGCAAUGUCCUUUGGGCUGUGGGAGAAGACAGUGCUUGAAAUAUGCAUGUUUGAGCAAGUUCAACGCAGCUUGCUUUUGCUGGAGCCUGACUUUCUUUCCUGGACAAAGCCAGAGAUUUGUGGAGUCUAAUAAUGUGUCAGCAAACCAACUUGGCAUAUAGAAAUGAGAAGGGCGAGUCCCUGUUCCAGUUGCAUAAAAAUGUCAGAGUGUGUGGGGAGUAGAUGAAGGUAAAAUUAAGGCCUAGUUUAUUUUCUUUCCUUUAAAGUGUAUUGUGUUUCUUGCUGAUGAGAAUGAUUUCAUAAUUACAAGCAUAUGGUGAAAAUGUCUGGGUAUCGGUAGAGAGUUGAGAUCUGAACUCAGGUCUGGUCUAGACUAUAUUCCUGUGGUCGUACAGUAGGUAAAUCUUCUGGCACAAUUUCUUGACUUUUUAACACGAGAAGCACUGCCAGCAUGUGAUGACCCAGAUAGACCAUUGGUGAUCUCAGAGAACAUGGUCUAUUUGCUUUCUAGUUUUGCCGACAUGCUUGGGGUCAGCAUUUUGAGCCAUACCCCGUAGGCAUGUCCUAGACAUUUUCUUCUGACACCAAGGAGAAUUGAUGUAACUACUGGUUUUCAGGAAUGCAAGCUUUAAAACAAAUAAUCAGAAGUUAAAAAACUUGUUGUAAAACUGACAGUUCAUGUUUUACUUGUUAACGUUGUUCCAAAUGUAAAAUUGGAGUGUGCUUUAAAAUCGUUACAGUGCAGUUCCCCAUGAGGCAAAAUGCCUUCAGUCUGCUGGGAAUGACAAACAAUAAUGGCAGAAGGAAAGUCAACAGGGCUAAAAUUAAAAUACUUGUGUUUAUAAUUGCUUUUACCAAGUUCCUGGAAGGCCCCUGUUUCAGAUGCAGGAUCCUGUAGGGUUAGGUGAAAUAGAACAGAGCAUAAUCCCAGUCCCAGAAGGUUUUGAGCUAUGCAGGUCUCUUCCAUUGACCAGACUUCCACUGACACUCUUGGAGACCAUGUUACAGACAUAUCAUUUCUAAUUGAAAAAAAUAAUUUAUAGAUUUUUUUUUCAACAGCAAAUUAUAUUUCUUCCAUCUUGUUAAUGACUGUUGGAUGGACAAUGCAGAAGGAUCCCUUUUGCAGGACAAAAAGGCUACAAAAAUAAUAGAAAUGAACGUCUGCAGCUGAAGAGUUUGGCUGGGACUUGAAAAGUUUGCUUUGGGUACGAGCCAGGUCCUGCUGAGGUCUGCAGGAAUUUUGCUCUUGGCCUCAGUGGGACCAAGCUUUCACCCUUGGAGGCCAUGUCCUGAGGAAGAAUUUAGUCUGAAAUAGUUUUCAAAACUUGUAUUGUUUGACUCACAACCAAGCAUUUUGUUGAGACUGAAUGGCUUUGUAUUUCUGAUUGACUCAUGUUGCUCAUCUUAGCAUCCUGCAGCAGUGAUCUCUCAAGGAAAUCCAAGUGUGAGAGAGGAUUGCAUGUAAGGUUCCUAAACCAAAAGCUUCUUGCAGGUCUUCCCAGGUGUCUGCUUAAGCUGUAUAUUUUUGGGAGGAGAUGUGCCUUGGAGCCCCAGCACAUCAGCACACUGCACUGAAGCUAUGGCUGUGACCUGUGGCAUGACUGGGAUAUGCCCAUCCAGACCCUGGUCAUCUUUGAUAGACCCAUCCCUCCAUUCUGCAUAUGAUUCUGUGAUUCAUGGUGAAACAAAUAUUUGAAGGAAGAACAGAGAACUAGUAAAGUGUUUUGAUUUAUACCUCACAUGUAUGCCCUUCCUUAUUACCCCCUUGGUCAUUUUUCCUGUAGACCUCAGAGACCACAUUGAAAAUAACCACUAUCAAAGUGAGGUUUGUGCCAUUCUUCUUCUUCUUCUGAUUAGAGCUAGGAUAACACAUUCAAAUAAUAAGUCUGAAGCUGGGCAUGGGUGGGACAACACUACUGUACUCUUAACACUGCAUGUUCUAGGCAGAUUUAACAUGCAGGUCUUGCAUUGUUGGACUGCACAAGUGUAGUAAUGUUGGAUUUUACUGCUCUAUAUCAACUUGUGAUGAAACGUGGUGACAUCAGCGGAGACAAAGGCCCAUUUCGUAUAAAGCUUGCAGAAACACCAAGUGCUUGUUUGGCCAUUCAGAACACGGAGCUGGGGAAAACAACUUGCUCAGUUCACAGCCCUGAAUCCUCUGGAGAUGCGUGGCUGGGUUAUUUCCUUGAUAUUCUGUGAUAUUAUGACCUGUUCUAAUAGCACAGGAUCAUAGAACUGUAGGAGUUGGAAGGGAGGAUUAUUGAGUUCCAGCCCCUGCUAAAGCAGAUUCCAUACAGGAGGUUGCACAGAACAGUAUCCAGACCCAAAGAAGGAGACUCCACAACCUCUGUGGUCAGCCUGUCACAUUUAAGCAGUUUAUAGUUAUCAUGAUUUAAGAUUUUCCUCCCAAAGUCAAUUGGUUUCACAGUAGACCCCAACAAAUCAGUAUUUUUGUUUUGCUGAAAUGGAGUGUGAUAUCAUUUUAAUGGCUCCUUUCUGAAAACCUUGAAAGCUGCUUAAGAAACAGAUUCACAGUGUAUGGGCUCGAAAACUAUCCCAUUCUGGUGCACUUGAAGUUGUCGAGCACAGAGUGCAUAAUUUAGAAUUGAAAAGAAAAAGAUGUAUCUGUGAAUUAAGGACUGCAAUACAGGAGCUAUCAACCACCAAGAGGCUCUUUUAACCUCAGCAGAGCUGUGCUCUUUAAUGUGUUUUUGUGGGGAAGAAGAAUAAAAAGGAAAUCUGAGAAAACUGAUCUUUAUUUUUAGAAAAAUAAUUUCUUUUUGCUAAGGAGGACUUUUUAUUUUCUGUGCUCUAAAUAAAGCAGUGAUAUGGUCCUGUUGUGCCUCAGGCUAUCCGCUUAAAAGAAAAGGCUCCAAAGAUGGACCAUCUGGAAGCCUGUGCAAGAGCACGCCAGUGCUGUUUGAUGUGGAAGAG